AAAUUGAAGAGUUUGAUCAUGGCUCAGAUUGAACGCUGGCGGCAGGCCUAACACAUGCAAGUCGAGCGGAAACGAGUUAUCUGAACCUUCGGGGAACGAUAGCGGCGUCGAGCGGCGGACGGGUGAGUAAUGCCUAGGAAAUUGCCCUGAUGUGGGGGAUAACCAUUGGAAACGAUGGCUAAUACCGCAUGAUGCCUACGGGCCAAAGAGGGGGACCUUCGGGCCUCUC
rnacentral:rRNA from 1 species